CAGUCGAACGGACUUUUCAUGAAGCCUAGCGAUUGAAAAGUUAGUGGCGGACGGCUGAGUAACGCGUGGGUAACCUGCCUUGUACUGGGGGACAACAGUUGGAAACGACUGCUAAUACCGCAUAAGCGCACAGCUUCGCAUGAAGCAGUGUGAAAAACUCCGGUGGUACAAGAUGGACCCGCGUCUGAUUAGCUGGUUGGUGAGGUAACGGCCCACCAAGGCAACGAUCAGUAGCCGGCCUGAGAGGGUGAACGGCCACAUUGGGACUGAGACACGGCCCAAACUCCUACGGGAGGCAGCAGUGGGGAAUAUUGCACAAUGGGGGAAACCCUGAUGCAGCAACGCCGCGUGAGUGAAGAAGUAUUUCGGUAUGUAAAGCUCUAUCAGCAGGAAAGAAAAUGACGGUACCUGACUAAGAAGCCCCGGCUAACUACGUGCCAGCAGCCGCGGUAAUACGUAGGGGGCAAGCGUUAUCCGGAUUUACUGGGUGUAAAGGGAGCGUAGACGGUUUUGCAAGUCUGAAGUGAAAGCCCGGGGCUUAACCCCGGGACUGCUUUGGAAACUGUAGAACUAGAGUGCAGGAGAGGUAAGUGGAAUUCCUAGUGUAGCGGUGAAAUGCGUAGAUAUUAGGAGGAACACCAGUGGCGAAGGCGGCUUACUGAACUGUAACUGACGUUGAGGCUCGAAAGCGUGGGGAGCAAACAGGAUUAGAUACCCUGGUAGUCCACGCCGUAAACGAUGAUUACUA
rnacentral:rRNA from 1 species